rnacentral:rRNA from 1 species
AUCAACGCUGGCGGCGCGCUUAACACAUGCAAGUCGCACGAGAAAGUGGAGCAUCCAUGAGUACAGUGGCGUACGGGUGAGUAACACGUGGGUAAUCUACCUCUUAGUGGGGAAUAACCCUGGGAAACCGGGGCUAAUACCGCAUAAGCCUGGAAAGGGAAAGCAGCAAUGCGCUGAGAGAGGAGCCCGCGGCCGAUUAGCUAGUUGGCAGGGUAAAGGCCUACCAAGGCAAUGAUCGGUAGCCGGCCUGAGAGGGCACACGGCCACACUGGCACUGAAAACACGGGCCAGACUCCUACGGGAGGCAGCAGUGGGGAAUCUUGCACAAUGGGGGAAACCCUGAUGCAGCGACGCCGCGUGAGCGAUGAAGCCCUUCGGGUUGGUAAAAGCUCUUUCGGCAGGAACGAUAAUAACGGUACCUGAAGAAGAAGCUGCGGCUAACUACGUGCCAGCAGCCGCGGUAAUACGUAGGCAGCAAGCGUUGUUCGGAGUUACUGGGCGUAAAGAGUGUGUAGGCUGUUCUCUAAGUUUGGUGUGAAUCUCCCGGCUUAACUGGGAGGGUGCGCCGAAAACUGGAGGGCUUGAGUGUGGGAGAGGAAAGCGGAAUUCCUGGUGUAGCGGUGAAAUGCGUAGAUAUCAGGAGGAACACCUGCGGUGUAGACGGCUUUCUGGACCACUACUGACGCUGAGACACGAAAGCGUGGGAGCAACAGGAUAGAUACCCUGGUAGUCCACGCCCUAAACGAUGCAUACUUGGUGUGAGCCGUUCAUUCGGUUCGUGCCGGAGCUAACGCGUUAAGUAUGCCGCCUGGGGAGUACGGUCGCAAGGCUGAAACUCAAAGGAAUUGACGGGGGCCCGCACAAGCGUGGAGCAUGUGGUUCAAUUCGACGCAACGCGAAGAACCUUACCUGGGCUCGAACCGGCAUCGGCAACAGGCUCUAGGAAACAUAGGGCCUUCCCGCAAGGGACCGGCGUAGAGGUGCUGCAUGGCUGUCGUCAGCUCGUGUCGUGAGGAUGUUGGGUUAAGUCCCGCAACGAGCGCAACCCUUGUACUCUAGUUUGGCAUCAGCGGAUCGCAAGGUGGGCAACUCUAAGGAGGACCGCCAGCCGGAUACGUGAGAGGAAGGUGGGGAUGACGGUCAAGUCAUCAUGGCCUUUAUGUCCAGGGCUACACACGUGUUACAAUGGCGCGCUAUACAAAGUCGUCGCGAACCCGCGAGGGUGGAGCUAAUCGCAAAAAAACCGUCUCUCAGUUCGGAUUCGCAGGCUGCAACUCGACUGCGUGAAGCUGGAAUCGCUAGUAAUGGCGCAUCAGAAUCGGCUGCCGUGAAUACGUUCCCGGGCCUUGUACACACCGCCCGUCACAUCACGAAAGUGGCAUGUACUAGAAGUCUGCCCGCCGACCGCAAGGAGGGCAGCGGCCCAAGGUAUGACUCAUGAUUGGGGUG